AUUGAACGCUGGCGGCAGGCCUAACACAUGCAAGUCGAGCGGGGUUUUCGGACCUAGCGGCGGACGGGUGAGUAAUGCGUAGGAAGCUACCCGAUAGAGGGGGAUACCAGUUGGAAACGACUGUUAAUACCGCAUAAUGUCUACGGACCAAAGUGUGGGACCUUCGGGCCACAUGCUAUCGGAUGCGCCUACGUGGGAUUAGCUAGUUGGUGAGGUAAUGGCUCACCAAGGCGACGAUCCCUAGCUGGUUUGAGAGGAUGAUCAGCCACACUGGAACUGAGACACGGUCCAGACUCCUACGGGAGGCAGCAGUGGGGAAUAUUGGACAAUGGGCGCAAGCCUGAUCCAGCCAUGCCGCGUGUGUGAAGAAGGCCUUCGGGUUGUAAAGCACUUUCAGUAAGGAGGAAGAGUUGAGUGUUAAUAGUACUCAGCUUUGACGUUACUUACAGAAGAAGCACCGGCUAACUCUGUGCCAGCCGCCGCAGUAAAAC
rnacentral:rRNA from 1 species